rnacentral:rRNA from 1 species
AUUGAACGCUGGCGGCAUGCCUUACACAUGCAAGUCGAACGGUAACAGGUUAAGCUGACGAGUGGCGAACGGGUGAGUAAUGUAUCGGAACGUGCCCAGUCGUGGGGGAUAACUGCUCGAAAGAGCAGCUAAUACCGCAUACGACCUGAGGGUGAAAGCGGGGGAUCGCAAGACCUCGCGCGAUUGGAGCGGCCGAUAUCAGAUUAGGUAGUUGGUGAGGUAAAGGCUCACCAAGCCGACGAUCUGUAGCUGGUCUGAGAGGACGACCAGCCACACUGGGACUGAGACACGGCCCAGACUCCUACGGGAGGCAGCAGUGGGGAAUUUUGGACAAUGGGCGCAAGCCUGAUCCAGCCAUGCCGCGUGCGGGAAGAAGGCCUUCGGGUUGUAAACCGCUUUUGUCAGGGAAGAAAAGGUUCUGGCUAAUACCUGGGACUCAUGACGGUACCUGAAGAAUAAGCACCGGCUAACUACGUGCCAGCAGCCGCGGUAAUACGUAGGGUGCAAGCGUUAAUCGGAAUUACUGGGCGUAAAGCGUGCGCAGGCGGUUAUGCAAGACAGAGGUGAAAUCCCCGGGCUCAACCUGGGAACUGCCUUUGUGACUGCAUGGCUAGAGUACGGUAGAGGGGGAUGGAAUUCCGCGUGUAGCAGUGAAAUGCGUAGAUAUGCGGAGGAACACCGAUGGCGAAGGCAAUCCCCUGGACCUGUACUGACGCUCAUGCACGAAAGCGUGGGGAGCAAACAGGAUUAGAUACCCUGGUAGUCCACGCCCUAAACGAUGUCAACUGGUUGUUGGGAGGGUUUCUUCUCAGUAACGUAGCUAACGCGUGAAGUUGACCGCCUGGGGAGUACGGCCGCAAGGCUGAAACUCAAAGGAAUUGACGGGGACCCGCACAAGCGGUGGAUGAUGUGGUUUAAUUCGAUGCAACGCGAAAAACCUUACCUACCCUUGACAUGUCUGGAAUCCUGAAGAGAUUUGGGAGUGCUCGAAAGAGAGCCAGAACACAGGUGCUGCAUGGCCGUCGUCGGCUCGUGUCGUGAGAUGUUGGGUUAAGUCCCGCAACGAGCGCAACCCUUGUCAUUAGUUGCUACGAAAGGGCACUCUAAUGAGACUGCCGGUGACAAACCGGAGGAAGGUGGGGAUGACGUCAGGUCAUCAUGGCCCUUAUGGGUAGGGCUACACACGUCAUACAAUGGCCGGGACAGAGGGCUGCCAACCCGCGAGGGGGAGCUAAUCCCAGAAACCCGGUCGUAGUCCGGAUCGUAGUCUGCAACUCGACUGCGUGAAGUCGGAAUCGCUAGUAAUCGCGGAUCAGCUUGCCGCGGUGAAUACGUUCCCGGGUCUUGUACACACCGCCCGUCACACCAUGGGAGCGGGUUCUGCCAGAAGUAGUUAGCCUAACCGCAAGGGGGGCGAUUACCACGGCAGGGUUCGUGACUGGGGUG